AAUCAACGCUGGCGGCGCGCUUAACACAUGCAAGUCGAACGAGAAAGGGAGCAAUCCUGAGUAAAGUGGCGUACUGGUGAGUAACACGUGGAUAUCUACCUCUUGGUGGGAAUAACCUGGGGAAACCUGGGCUAAUACCGCAUAAGUUCGUGAGAAGAAAGGCGCAAGUCGCCGAGAGAGGAGUCCGCGGUCGAUUAGGUAGUUGGCAGGGUAAAAGCCUACCAAGCCGAAGAUCGAUAGCCGGCCUGAGAGGGCACACGGCCACACUGGCACUGAAACACGGGCCAGACUCCUACGGGAGGCAGCAGUGGGAAUCUUGCACAAUGGGGGAAACCCUGAUGCAGCGACGCCGCGUGAGCGAUGAAGCCCUUCGGGGUGUAAAGCUCUUUCGGCAGGAACGAUAAUGACGGUACCUGCAGAAGAAGCUGCGGCUAACUACGUGCCAGCAGCCGCGGUAAU
rnacentral:rRNA from 1 species